GAAAGCAUCUAAGCACGAAACUUGCCCCGAGAUGAGUUCUCCCUGAGACUUUAGGUCUCCUGAAGGAACGUUGAAGACGACGACGUUGAUAGGCCGGGUGUGUAAGCGCAGCGAUGCGUUGAGCUAACCGGUACUAAUGAACCGUGAGGCUUAACCUUACAACGCCGAAG
rnacentral:rRNA from 1 species